rnacentral:rRNA from 1 species
GAUGAACGCUGGCGGCGUGCCUAAUACAUGCAAGUCGAGCGAACGGACGAGAAGCUUGCUUCUCUGAUGUUAGCGGCGGACGGGUGAGUAACACGUGGAUAACCUACCUAUAAGACUGGGAUAACUUCGGGAAACCGUAGCUAAUACCGGAUAAUAUUUUGAACCGCAUGGUUCAAAAGUGAAAGACGGUCUUGCUGUCACUUAUAGAUGGAUCCGCGCUGCAUUAGCUAGUUGGUAAGGUAACGGCUCACCAAGGCAACGAUGCAUAGCCGACCUGAGAGGGUGAUCGGCCACACUGGAACUGAGACACGGUCCAGACUCCUACGGGAGGCAGCAGUAGGGAAUCUUCCGCAAAGGGCGAAAGCCUGACGGAGCAACGCCGCGUGAGUGAUGAAGGUCUUCGGAUCGUAAAACUCUGUUAUUAGGGAAGAACAUAUGUGUAAGUAACUGUGCACAUCUUGACGGUACCUAAUCAGAAAGCCACGGCUAACUACGUG